AUACGGAGGAUCCGAGCGUUAUCCGGAUUUAUUGGGUUUAAAGGGUGCGUAGGCGGCCUUUUAAGUCAGCGGUGAAAGUCUGUGGCUCAACCAUAGAAUUGCCGUUGAAACUGGGGGGCUUGAGUAUGUUUGAGGCAGGCGGAAUGCGUGGUGUAGCGGUGAAAUGCUUAGAUAUCACGAAAAACCCCGAUUGCGAAGGCUGCCUGCAAAGCCAUGACUGACGCUGUUGCACGAAAGCGUGGGGAUCAAACAGGAUUAGAUACCCUGGUAGUCCACGCAGUAAACGAUGAUCACUAGCUGUUUGCGAUACACUGUAAGCGGCACAGCGAAAGCGUUAAGUGAUCCACCUGGGGAGUACGCCGGCAACGGUGAAACUCAAAUGAAUUGACGGGG
rnacentral:rRNA from 1 species